ensembl:rRNA 5S_rRNA 5S ribosomal RNA
GCUUACGGCCAUACCACCCUGAACACGCCCGAUCUCGUCUGAUCUCGGAAGCUAAGCAGGGUCGGGCCUGGUCAGUACUUGGAUGGGAGACCGCCUGGGAAUACCAGGUGCUAUAAGCU